AGAGUUUGAUCAUGGCUCAGAACGAACGCUGGCGGCAUGCUUAACACAUGCAAGUCGAACGGAUGCUUCGGCAUCAGUGGCGCACGGGUGAGGAACGCGUGGGAACCUGCCUUUCGGUUCGGAAUAACCAAGGGAAACUUUGGCUAAUACCGGAUACGUCGGAGUGCCAUGGCGGCAUUCCGGGAAAGAUUUAUCGCCGA
rnacentral:rRNA from 1 species